GACGUAGGGGGCCAGCGUUGUUCGGAAUUACUGGGUGUAAAGGGUUCGUAGGCGGUGUGGCAAGUUGGGAGUGAAAUCUCUGGGCUCAACCCAGAGGCUGCUUCCAAAACUGCUGUGCUUGAGUGUGGGAGAGGCGCGUGGAAUUGCAGGUGUAGCGGUGAAAUGCGUAGAUAUCUGCAGGAACACCCGUGGCGAAAGCGAGUCUCUGGACAUUUCCUGACGCUGAGGCACGAAAGCCAGGGGAGCAAACGGG
rnacentral:rRNA from 1 species